rnacentral:rRNA from 1 species
AUAGGGGAGCCGUAGGGAAACCGAGUCUUAACUGGGCGAAUGAGUUGCAGGGUAUAGACCCGAAACCCGGUGAUCUAUCCAUGGGCAGGUUGAAGGUUGGGUAACACUAACUGGAGGACCGAACCGACUAAUGUUGAAAAAUUAGCGGAUGACUUGUGGAUGGGGGUGAAAGGCCAAUCAAACCGGGAGAUAGCUGGUUCUCCCCGAAAGCUAUUUAGGUAGCGCCUCGUGAAUUCAUCUUCGGGGGUAGAGCACUGUUUCGACUAGGGGGUCAUCCCGACUUACCAACUCGAUGCAAACUGCGAAUACCGAAGAAUGUUAUCACGGGAGACACACGGCGGGUGCUAACGUCCGUCGUGAAGAGGGAAACAACCCAGACCGCCAGCUAAGGUCCCAAAGUCAUGGUUAAGUGGGAAACGAAGUGGGAAGGCUCAGACAGCCAGGAUGUUGGCUUAGAAGCAGCCAUCAUUUAAAGAAAGCGUAAUAGCUCACUGGUCGAGUCGGCCCGCGCGGAAGAUGUAACGGGGCUAAACCAUGCACCGAAGCUGCGGCAGCGA